rnacentral:rRNA from 1 species
AACGAACGCUGGCGGCAGGCUUAACACAUGCAAGUCGAACGCAUGCCUUCGGGCAUGAGUGGCAGACGGGUGAGUAACGCGUGGGAACCUACCCCUUGGUACGGGAUAGCUCCGGGAAACUGGAGAUAAUACCGUAUGUGUCCUGAGGGACAAAGUUUCAUCGCCAAGGGAUGGGCCCGCGUCGGAUUAGCUAGUUGGUGGGGUAACGGCCUACCAAGGCGACGAUCCGUAGCUGGUCUAAGAGGAUGAUCAGCCACAUUGGGACUGAGACACGGCCCAAACUCCUACGGGAGGCAGCAGUGGGGAAUAUUGGACAAUGGGCGCAAGCCUGAUCCAGCCAUGCCGCGUGAGUGAUGAAGGCCCUAGGGUUGUAAAGCUCUUUCACCGGUGACGAUAAUGACGGUAACCGGAGAAGAAGCCCCGGCUAACUUCGUG